rnacentral:rRNA from 1 species
CCUAACGGGUGGCUGCAGUAGGGAAUCUUCGGCAAUGGGGGGAACCCUGACCGAGCAACGCCGCGUGAGUGAAGAAGGUUUUCGGAUCGUAAAGCUCUGUUGUUAAGGAAGAACGAGUGUGAGAAUGGAAAGUUCAUGCUGUGACGGUACUUAACCAGAAAGGGACGGCUAACUACGUGCCAGCAGCCGCGGUAAUACGUAGGUCCCGAGCGUUGUCCGGAUUUAUUGGGCGUAAAGCGAGCGCAGGCGGUUAGAAAAGUCUGAAGUGAAAGGCAGUGGCUCAACCAUUGUAGGCUUUGGAAACUGUUUAACUUGAGUGCAGAAGGGGAGAGUGGAAUUCCAUGUGUAGCGGUGAAAUGCGUAGAUAUAUGGAGGAACACCGGUGGCGAAAGCGGCUCUCUGGUCUGUAACUGACGCUGAGGCUCGAAAGCGUGGGGAGCGAACAGGAUUAGAUACCCGAGUAGU